rnacentral:rRNA from 1 species
ACGAACGCUGGCGGCGUGCUUAACACCUGCAAGUCGAACGGAAAGGCCCUGCUUUUGUGGGGUGCUCGAGUGGCGAACGGGUGAGUAACACGUGAGUAACCUGCCCUUGACUUUGGGAUAACUUCAGGAAACUGGGGCUAAUACCGGAUAGGAGCUCCUGCUGCAUGGUGGGGGUUGGAAAGUUUCGGCGGUUGGGGAUGGACUCGCGGCUUAUCAGCUUGUUGGUGGGGUAGUGGCUUACCAAGGCUUUGACGGGUAGCCGGCCUGAGAGGGUGACCGGCCACAUUGGGACUGAGAUACGGCCCAGACUCCUACGGGAGGCAGCAGUGGGGAAUAUUGCACAAUGGGCGGAAGCCUGAUGCAGCAACGCCGCGUGCGGGAUGACGGCCUUCGGGUGGUAAACCGCUUUCGCCUGUGACGAAGCGUGAGUGACGGUAAUGGGUAAAGAAGCACCGGCUAACUACGU